CACGUAGGCGGCGCUCUAAGUCAGGUGUGAAAUCCCCCGGCUCAACCGGGGAACUGCACCUGAUACUGGAGUGCUCGAGGACGGUAGGGGUGAGUGGAACUCCAGGUGGGGCGGUGAAAUGCGUAGAUAUCUGGAGGAACACCGGUGGCGAAAGCGGCUCACUGGACCGUCUCUGACGCUGAGGUGCGAAAGCUAGGGUAGCAAACG
rnacentral:rRNA from 1 species